rnacentral:lncRNA from 1 species
UUAUACUCUUCCUAAGCAGGGACGGAGCUAUGUGAAGGCCCAAGGUGGCCAUGGCCCUUCUCAACUUCUCAAUAUUUGCUUAAUGGUCCUUCAUAGUUCUUUUUUUUUGGUGGGCCAUGGGUAGCUUUGACAUCCCUAGUUUUUAAUAUUUACUUAAUAGUAUGGCGCCAACAUAACUCUCUCUCUCUCUCUUCCUCCUAACUGAUAUACUCUUUUUAUGGAGGAAAAUAUAUUAAGACCAUCUUACUUAUAGAGUAUUUUGUAAUGUAUUUCUCUACUCUAAAAAUUUUAUUUAAUAAUUUUUAAAACUUUUAUUUAUCUUAGGUGAGCUCUUUUAUUUGACUAAAUCAAGGAUUGCACUAAAUUUAAUAGUUAUAUUAAUUUUAUUUAUAAAAAAACUAAAAAAUUACUGUUAGAUUUAGUAAAAUUUCUAUGUUAUUUUAAUGUGAUAAUAUAAAUA